UUCAUUUCAUUUGCAAUUGGAAACAAGGAAAGCAGGCUGUUCAUUACAUAUUAUUUCUAAGAAAACGUUCAGGUGUUCAACAACGCAAAAAUAUAAGAACACAAAAGUAGUUGCUGAAUUUUCAUAUCAUCUUCUCCUUCCUUGAUAGCUAAGUGAUGGCAUAAACGUUUUGGAGAGUUGUCACCCUAUUGUAUGGCUGGUUUUGAAAGCAUAGAGCUGGGAUUCUAAUAAGGUGGUCUAGAGAUUAAGGAUUAGCAUCAACAUUACGACAAGUUCAUUUGGGUUUAUAUUGGCAACUUAAGGUACAGAUAGUCGGUUUGGCGACCCUUCAGCAUAGGACUUCUACUCAGCAGUUUUGGAGAGCUCCGUUGUUCCGGAGUUUAGACCUUUGGUUCAGAUCUUAUGAUGUAUAUGUAUAUGUUUAUCCAGGGAGAUGGCGGGGCCCUGUCCCGUUAUAUUUCGCUAUCGAUACUCUUAGAGGUCUGUAGACAUAUGUGUGGGUUGUGUAUGGGUUCUGUUCAGCUGUGUCUAUACGAGGUGUUGUGGUAUGAUGUUCGUCUAUAGUGGCAGUCUUGUCGGCUUGCAUAUGAUCUUGAUAUGUGAUGGCAGCCUUGUCGGCUUGCGUAUUAUUCAUGAUAUGAUCAGUUAUGACUCCUCAGGAGACAGUGUAUCUGAAUAUACAUAUAUGAUGACGCUAUGAACCUUCAGAGUUCUUUUGUAAA